rnacentral:tRNA from 1 species
GCAGUCGUAGCGUAGCGGUAGCGUUCAAGCCUUCCAAGCUUGAGGCCCGGGUUCGAUUCCCGGCGGCUGCA